UCUGUGCUCCCCUCCUGCACGGUUUAGGAGCCGUUACUGUGGACAGAGAGACGGGGACGUGAACGGCCAUUGAGGGUGGCCAAAGUGCCA